CACCUCUAGCAUAACAACUAUUAGAGGCACCGCCUGCCCAGUGACAUAUGUUUAACGGCCGCGGUACCCUGACCGUGCAAAGGUAGCAUAAUCAUUUGUUCCUUAAUUAGGGACUUGCAUGAAAGGCCUAACGAGGAUUUUACUGUCUCCUGCCUCCAAUCAGUGAAAUUGACCCCCCCGUGAAGAGGCAGGGAUAACCCUAUAAGACGAGAAGACCCUACGGAACUUUAAUUAACUAAUCUAAUCAUAACCUAUACAAACCUAACGGGAACAACUUUCCAUGACCUAGAUUAGCAAUUUCGGUUGGGGCGACCUCGGAGUACAAAAAAUCCUCCGAAUGACCAUGCACCCAGACUUCACCAGUCAACGUGCCUCGUUAUCAACUCAAUUGACCCAAGUAAUUGAUCAACGGAACAAGCUACCCUAGGGAUAACAGCGCAAUCCUAUUUCAGAGUCCAUAUCGACAAUAGGGUUUACGACCUCGAUGUUGGAUCAGGACAUCCUAGUAGUGUAACCGCCACUAAAGGUUCGUUUGUUCAACGAUUAAAGUCCUACGU
rnacentral:rRNA from 1 species